rnacentral:rRNA from 1 species
UGGGGAAUCUUGCGCAAUGGGGGAAACCCUGACGCAGCGACGCCGCGUGCGGGAUGAAGGCCUUCGGGUUGUAAACCGCUUUCAGCAGGGACGAGGCCUUAUGGUGACGGUACCUGCAGAAGAAGCUCCGGCUAAAUACGUGCCAGCAGCCGCGGUAAUACGUAUGGAGCAAGCGUUAUCCGGAUUCAUUGGGCGUAAAGCGCUCGUAGGCGGUCUGUUAGGUCGGCAAGUUAAAUCCGGGGGCUCAACCCCCGUCCGCUUCCGAUACCGGCAGAAUUGAGUUUGGUAGGGGAAGGUGGAAUUCCUAGUGUAGCGGUGGAAUGCGCAGAUAUUAGGAAGAACACCGGUGGCGAAGGCGGCCUUCUGGGCCAUAACUGACGCUGAGGAGCGAAAGCUAGGGGAGCGAACAGG